GGUACUCUGGGGAUAACAGGCUGAUACCGCCCAAGAGUUCAUAUCGACGGCGGUGUUUGGCACCUCGAUGUCGGCUCAUCUCAUCCUGGGGCUGUAGCCGGUCCCAAGGGUAUGGCUGUUCGCCAUUUAAAGAGGUACGUGAGCUGGGUUUAAAACGUCGUGAGACAGUUUGGUCCCUAUCUGCCGUGGGCGUUGGAUAUUUGAAGGGGGCUGCUCCUAGUACGAGAGGACCGGAGUGGACGAACCUCUGGUGUACCGGUUGUGACGCCAGUCGCAUCGCCGGGUAGCUAUGUUCGGAAGAGAUAACCGCUGAAAGCAUCUAAGCGGGAAACUCGCCUUAAGAUGAGAUAUCCCUGGGGACUUGAUCCCCUUGAAGGGUCGUUCGAGACCAGGACGUUGAUAGGUCAGGUGUGUAAGCGCAGUAAUGCGUUCAGCUAACUGAUACUAAUUGCCCGUAAGGCUUGAUCCUAUAACA
rnacentral:rRNA from 1 species